rnacentral:misc_RNA from 1 species
AUGACUGGGGGAGAGAGGAGGUGUGUGUGUGGCACACCGCCGUGCGUGAUAUCUCGGUCCAUCGGCCCCUGCCUCCUCCCCUCCCUACCCACACUCUCUGUGGGGAAGCCAAGCAGCCUGCCGUCUGCCCUCUGGGUAUUGGUUGCGGUCUCUUGACGUCGGCGGAGGCAUCACGGCUGCUGCCAUGCCACAGAUAAUUGCUGCCAUGAUGACGCUUCUACCAGCUCACGACGAAAUGUGUCGAUGAUACAACAAGCACGGGCAUCCACCCACUGUUUUUCUGCUUUAGCUGCGCCGCGGUGCUAUCGAGCGUAAUCCUGGACCCGGCCUGCGCUGCAUGCAGUGGAAUGUCAAUGGGCUGAAGGACGCCACACGGCUUUGGCUCGCCUAGUUUCUGGACACGGCCAUGGUGCGACUGAGUUCGGUGAACGGUGGUUGCACGGGCCUAUUCGUUGACAUGUUCGUGGUUGGAUGGCCACGCUGCAAAAAAAAAAGAAGACACGUGCGCACUGAGA